rnacentral:lncRNA from 1 species
UUUCAAAUGGGUAAAAGGCUCACAUUCACUUUCUUCUACAUCAUAUUCAAACUUGUCCAAAUAAAUAAUAAAGUCAUCUCGACUCAAAGAAAGUUAUAUAAGUCUCAUACAAUUAAUAUAGAACCUAUAUCCUAAUGUCAUAUCCUAUCAGAGCGUGGUGUUCCCGUGUCUUCUAGCAUGAGGUUCUUCAUAGUCAUCCACCUAUUCAUCUGCUCCCCCGAACACAAAGUUCAAGAUCAUCACAGGAUCCAAACACAAACAGCAAACCGGGAGUGAAUUAUCACAUUGCUAACUACUAGAGAGAAACAACACAACAUAUAGUAGCCAAAUACAAUUUACUUAGCAUAUCUCACAUUAUUUCAUCACUUUGUCAUUCAUCAAUCACACCUUUCAAUCAUCAAUCAUUAUACACAAGAAUCACACACUCCGAUCAAAACAUAAUAACACAUCAAUUUCAUAAUAAACAAUUAGCAAGCGUAUGCGACAGUUAUGCUAAGACUCAAACCUAUAUGCAAUGUGGUACCAUGUCAGUGAAAAACCACCCUGGGGCGCUUAGGAGUACAUAACAAGACACACCACACAAUGAGUUUGUCAGGUCACUCUCACUAAGUAAGAUCAUAGGGAGACCAGUCAGGGUCACGAUGUUUUGCGAGAAUGCUCCAACCAUAUGGGAUCAACAUAGGCUUAAAGAAGCACUCAAACCCGGUGACCCCCAAGGCCUACACUCCGAAGAGUCCGUCAGGGCCUCUCCCUCCUGAUUCAGGUCCAACCCCUAAAAUUAUUUUAGCACACAGACUCUAUCUAUGAACUGUACAAAACACACGACUCCUCAAUUGUUCUCAAAAUAAUUUUAACUCGUCGCCCUUUAAGGGUCUUAUCAUUAACUCGUCGCCCUUAAAGGGACUUAACAUCAACUCGUCGCCCUAAAAGGGACUUAGCAUCAACUCGUCGCCCUAAAAGGGACUUAACAUCAACUCGUCGCCCUAAAAGGGACUUAGCAUUAACUCGUCGCCCUUGAAGGGACUUAUGAUCGUGUGAUUGUACAAUUCAUAGUUCACAACUCGAUGCACAUAUAUAUCUCAAUCAUAUACAUACUCAAAUUAUCACAUACACUUAAUCCCAAUCACAAUGAUAUAAUCUCAAUUUAACAUGUUAUCACACCUCAUGAAUCAUGUACACUUUACCUAUGAACUAUGCAAUACACACAUCUACUCAAUUGUUUUCAAAAUCAUUUUAACUCGUCGGAUUCCCACAGUGGAUCCCAUCACAAUACUCGCCGCCCUUAAAGGGUCUUACAAUUGUGUGAUUGCACAGUUCAUAGUUCACAACUCAAUACACACAUCUCAUCUCAAUACACAUGUAUUUCAUCAUCCGUCACAUGUUCAAUUUAUCACAUACUCACAGUUUGAAUCAUCAUUUCAUAACCUCAACAUAACAAUUUAUACAAAAGAUUUCAUCACAACAUGGAGUGUAAAACCCCUGAAAUAGUUUCUCAUAAUUAUAUCACAAUCAAUUAAUCAAAUUCAUGGGUUAAACACAAAGACAUCAAGAGCACUCAAGUUUAUCAAUCAAUUCUCAUCAGGACAUCAAUUGGUACAUAGAACACAAUAAUAUUAUAUUUAUAAUCAUAAAGAGAAAAUUAUAAUUCAAUAAACAUCCCAAAAUAAACUCAAAUUUAGUUCUCUAAGGAUACCUACACAUGUUCAUUCUAAUCCCCAGUUGCAAUAAACUCAUCCCUUACCUCUAAGUGGGCUCACGUGUCUUCAGCCAGCCAUAGCAACAUCUCUAAUGGUUCCCGAAAAUUCUUUCAAUCAUUCAUCCGCCUGCUCCGAUAGAAUUCCCAAACGUCAGAGAGACGGAGAAGAGAUUGGAACCUCCACUUGUACUGUCUUCAUACGAUUCCUUUUUCUCCCUCCACGAAUAUUAUCUCGCAAAUCCCAACGGUAGAAGCGUGCGGAAUUGAAUUUCGAACAACAUAUCCAAAUUUCACAAUAAUCCAACGGUUAACGAAACCGGGAUCGUAGUUUUACCAAGACAGCUCUGGGUUUCUGCGGAAAAGAAAAAGGCUACAAUGCGAAGGGUGUUUCUCUCAGUUCAGACAUGAUAUCGAAAUUCCCAACGGUGAGAAUGCUCGGAAUUGUGUUGCGAACAUGAUACUCAAAUUUCACGACGAUCCAACGCUGAACGAGUUCGAGAUCGUCGUUUUUCUGAGACUGGUUUGGUGGGCUGCGGGAAAAAGAAAGGGUUUUGAGAGGAGAAGGGGAAAAACGAAAAUGAGGCCAAAAGGAUACCUAGGAUACUCA